GAUGAACGCUGGCUACAGGCUUAACACAUGCAAGUCGAGGGGAAACGCUGAGAGAGCUUGCUCUCUUAGGCGUCGACCGGCGCACGGGUGAGUAACGCGUAUCCAACCUACCCUUUACAGGGGGAUAACCUUGCGAAAGUAAGACUAAUACCCCAUGGCCUUUUAUGAUGGCGUCAUUAUAGGAUUAAAGUUUUAUUGGUAAUGGAUGGGGUUGCGUCUGAUUGGCUUGUGGGCGGAGGAACGGCCCACCAAGGCAACGAACAGUAGGGGUUCUGAGAGGAAGGUACCCCACAAUGGAACUGAGACACGGUCCAAAAUCCGACGGGAGGGAGCAGUGAGGAAGAUUGGGCAAGGGGCGAGGGCUUGAACCAGCCAAGUAGCGUGCAGGAGGACGGCCCUAGGGGUGGUAAACUGCUUUUAUAGAAGAAUAGAGUGAGCUACGUGUAGUUUAUUGCAGGUACCCUAUGAAUAAGGACCGGCUAACUCCGUG
rnacentral:rRNA from 1 species